ensembl:lncRNA novel transcript, antisense to GPR61
GGCGGAUCUGCAGAGUUUCGAGGUUCUGUCAAGUUCGCUGCCCGCCGCCCAACUUGAAGCCUCAUUUACCUUUCGGCUACCUGAUUUGGAUAAAUGGAGAAAAACCGGGGCCUCUAACUCAUAAUGCCCUCCCGCGUUCAAGAUGCCAGUUUUGGGGCGGAGAUUUCUAAAUUAAAGCCUACAUCCCGCGCGGGAAUAUCUGCUGGUAAUUUCUCGCCUGCCAGAAAACUCCUUUGAUCUCUGGCUGUGGAGACUCGGGACCCCUACCCAAGUAUGGGACACUGCCUCCGUUGGGGUUAUCUCAGAUCAAUGGAAUGGGAACAAGCUAUCCGGCCUGGGCGCCGUUCACGUCUCACAUCUGAGAUCGUAACACCGACUGUGCUUAGGACCUCAGCAAUAACUUUUUGCCGUCUCUGGCCCACUGACUCCUCUCAAAAUGUCCCCUGGUCCUUUUGCUAUUCACGUAUUUCUGUGGGCUUGAGAUUUGCUUAACUCCUAUAUUGGCAAAAGGCCACUUGAAAUCGCUAGCAGAUACUCGAUAACCUGAAAGGUAAGCCUGUAGUUCCUCCAUAAAAUUUCCAUGCUGCCCUUCUCUCCAGUAUAAUUCAGAUCUUCCUACCUUAGGGUCUUAGAACUAAAACCAAGAUAAGUCAACUUCAAUUCCACACCCCGAAACAAACCAGUGCAUCCUGUGAAUCUCCUACUAAAAUUUCCUGUUGCGAUAACAUGCAAAAGGAGAGGUUCUAGUAAAAUUUGCCUCUCAGCCCUAGUAUCACCUGAAACUUAAGUCCACUGUGAAAGUCCCAGGCAGAUAGCAUCUUUCACUAAUAACCCUGGAUACUGCGUGAAGGUAGUCCUAAAUCAACUUUUCAGGCAAAUAAGCCCACAAUUACUAUACGUUCUAGCGAAGGGAACUCAGUCCCUAAAACCUUUCCCUGUGAUUGUAAAUUUAUUUCUCUAAUAGAAUCUGAACUUGAGAAAGUAAGGUCCCAACAGAGAGGUUUAUAUAGUGAUGAUUCAUUAAUUAGAAGGAUUUAAUUAGAGGAUUAGAGCCACCUUAAAAAGCCUCGUCCACCUUAACUCUUAGCAAUGCCAAUUCUUCAAGGUUUGAAAAGUCCCCCAGUCAUUCCCAAAUGACUGUUAAGAAUGAAAGGGACUGCUUUUCCAUUAUCAAUACUUUUGGGGAAAAAGGGCAAGAGGAAAGGGAAGUAAAACCAGUAUUUAUUGAGUACCUAUUUGCCAGAUACGGCUAGGUGCUCCCACAUCCCAUCUCUUAAUCCUCACAACAACCCUGUGAGGUAGGUAAUAAUGAUCCCCAUUUUUACAGGUGAGGAAGUAGGCUCAGAGAAAUUAAGCAGCUUUCCCAACUUCACACAGUGAGUAAGUACAUCUAUCUGACCCCAGAGUUACCCUUUUCUAUCAUGCCCCCGUAGGAUAUUGCCUGGGGACACCUGACAACAGAAAGUCUAAGGUUUUCAUCUAGGAUUGGGAGUUACCCCAACACCAGCAGGAUGCAGGAAAAAGUAACUGACCGGAUGGUUGCCUCAAUCUGUUGAUUCUUCAGUGAGUUAGCUCAGAUUUUGUCCAGGAACAGCUUUCAGAGCCAAAGAUUACGUAUUGAACUUUACCAAGGCAUCUGGUGACUAGAAAACUCCUGGAAGGUGGUCAUAGCAGAAAUUGUUGGGAAAGUUCUCAGCAUAAUAAAAGAGAAAUUUUUAUUUCCUUCAUGAUCCACUCCUACAGGGAAAAAUAAAUGGCAAAUGAACCCAUGUAUGUCAAACUCUGUAAUAAACACCAGUGAGAUCACAGUGUCAGGAAAUUUCAGCCUGAAUUAAAGAUACCCUUGCUCUUAAAA